UCCGUAGGCGGUGUGGCAAGUCGGUAGUGAAAUCUCUCGGCUUAACUGAGAGGCUGCUGCCGAAACUGCCAUGCUCGAGUGCGAGAGAGGCGAGUGGAAUUACGGGUGUAGCGGUGAAAUGCGUAGAUAUCCGUAGGAACAUCCGAGGCGAAAGCGGCUCGCUGGAUCGCAACUGACGCUGAGGGACGAAAGCUAGGGGAGCAAACAGGAUUAGAUACCCUGGUAGUCCUAGCCCUAAACCAUCAGGACUUGGGGUUUGCCCUGUACGGGGCAAGUCCCGGAGCUAACGCGUUAAGUCCUGCGCCUGGGGAGUACGGUCGCAAGGCUGAA
rnacentral:rRNA from 1 species